ACAAUUAUGUCUUUCUCACGGAUUAUUCUUCCUCGCUCUCCUUCAAGAAGCUUCUUUGUGUUACUGAUAUCCACCUCGAAUGUUCCUGCAAACCAAAAGUAACAAAGCUACAAUAGGUCGGUCAUGCACAUAAAUUCAGAAUAAGACAACAAUGAUUAUAUUCAAAGAUGAAAUAGAAGAUUGUUUAUGAACAAGAAGACAUACUUUUUUAACAUCACCAAACUAAUAUAUCACGUAGUAACCUCUAAAUGGGACUACAGAGACAGGCAUUCAAUGAGUCAAUUUAAAAUUGUAAAUUCGAUGAAGUACAAGGGUUAGGACAUCUAAGACAAAACCAGCACUUAUAAUCAAAUCAACAAAACAGUGAAUAAAAAAUUUGUUUCGACCUAACCAUCACACACCAUUCUAAAACUAGGAACCCCGCCCUGCACACAGAAACACGUGCGCACAUGCACACAGAAAGAUAGAACCAGAGGAAAGUGUAAGAAACACUGCAUUUAUGUUCUUGCCAAAAUAGAUUAACUGGAAAAAA